UGAAUUUCAAUUCUGGAUCGUGUUGGAAAC
rnacentral:piRNA from 1 species